GAACGCACAUUGCGCCCCUUGGUAUUCCGGGGGGCAUGCCUGUUCGAGCGUCAUUUCAACCCUCAAGCACAGCUUGGUCUUGGGCCCUGCCGGCAACGGCUGGCCUUAAAAACAGUGGCGGCGCCAUCGAGCUCUACGCGUAGUAAUUAUACCCUCGCGUGUGAGUCCCGGUGGAUGCUGGCCAGCAACCCCCAAUUUUCUAUGGUUGACCUCGAAUCAGGUAGGGAUACCCGCUGAACUUAAG
rnacentral:misc_RNA from 1 species